rnacentral:rRNA from 2 species
CCGGUGACGUUGUGAGAAGUUCAUUAAACCUUAUCAUUUAGAGGAAGGAGAAGUCGUAACAAGGUUUCCGUAGGUGAACCUGCGGAAGGAUCAUUG